rnacentral:misc_RNA from 1 species
AGGAUAUCAAGAUCUAGCAUCAAGCCUUCAGCUGAAACAACAAAAGCCAAGAACACCACACAAAAAGGAGCACUUCCUCACAUUAACAUAAAGAUUCACACAAAAAGAACCUCCAUGAAUUGGCUUAUAUGAUUUAAAUGCUCCAUUUUUUGUGUCAAUUACAAAUUAAUGACAAAAUAACCAAGGUAAGGCUAUAUUAGCUUUGUAGUUAUUUGCAUGAAGGUUCCUAGGUGCAUUGAAAAGACCAAAGAGCAUCACAAGCCACUCAAAUAAUGCUUCUAAAGUUUUAAAGGCUGUUUCCAUUUGCUUCCAAGCUCUAUGGUAGCGAAUUCUUAAGCCUAUCUUACAGAAUACAACUG